GUGCUUGCUUUGAAAGUACAUAUACUAAAAUUGGAAGAAUACAGAGUAGCUUAGCAUGUCCCCUGCACAAGGAUGAAUGCAGAUUUGCAAAAUGCAUAAAUAAUUCAU
rfam:Canis lupus familiaris chromosome 10, whole genome shotgun sequence.